UUGAGAGUUUGAUCCUAGCUCAGGAUGAACGCUGGCGGCGUGGAUAAGGCAUGCAAGUCGAGCGAUGCAGGGAAGUUGGAAGUUAGUUGUUGGUAGUUGUAUAGCGGCAGACGAGGUAGUAAUACGUAGGUACGUUCCCAAGAGUCUGGCAUAGCUCAUCGAAAGGUGAGGUAAUUCCAGAUGGUCCCGCAAGGGUAAAGCCAAGUUAUUUAUUUAAUUUGGUCGCUCUUGGAUCGGCCUGCGGCAUAUCAGCUAGUUGGUAGGGUAACGGCCUACCAAGGCGACGACGUGUAGGGGAGCUGAGAGGCUGACCCCCACCGAUGGAACUGAGAUAAAAACGGUCCAUACUCCUACGGGAGGCAGUAGCCGAGAAUAUUCGACAAUGGACGAAAGUCUGAUCGAGCGACGCCGCGUGGUGGAUGAAGUCCUUCGGGACGUAAACACCUUUUAUGGGGGAGGAAUUUCGAUGACUGUACCCCAUGAAUAAGAGGUUGCUAACUCUGGCCAGCAGCAGCGGUAAUACAGAGACCUCAAGCGUUAUCCGGAAUUAUUGGGCGUAAAGGGUGCGUAGGUUUCCCAACAGGUUUCUUGUUAAAUCUCCAGGCUUAACCUGGAACAUGCGAGAAAAACCGGUGGGAUAGAGUAUGUGAGAGGUGCAUGGAACUCAUGGUGUAGGGGUGAAAUCCGUUGAUAUCAUGGGGAACACCAAAGGCGAAAGCAGUGCACUGGCACACUACUGACACUCAAGCACGAAAGCGUGGGGAGCGAACGGGAUUAGAUAAAUCCGCUUACCGCUCGUAAAAAAUCCCCGGUAGUCCACGCCCUAAACGAUCUUCUCUAGCUUUCUGGAGUAUCGACCCUCUGGGAGGCGAAGCUAACGCGUUAAGAGAAGCGCCUGUGAAGUACGGCCGCAAGGCUAAAACAUAAAGGAAUAGACGGGGACUCGCACAAGCAGUGGAUCAUGUGGUUUAAUUCGACUAUAAACGAAGAACCUCACCAGGGUUAGAAAUCCAACCCCAUGCCGAACCAGAAACGGAUCGGCUGCUCACAAGGUAAGGGUUGGACAGGUGAUGCAUGGCUGUCGUCAGUUCGUGGUUUGAAUUGUUCCCUUAAGUGGGGUAACGAACGCAACCCUCAUCGUGUGUUACAAGUGUCACGCGAGACCGUCCCGUUUUACGGGAAGGAAGCGAGGAUGACGCCAAGUCCGCAUGUCCCUCUGAUACCCUGGGCUACACACAUGAUACAAUGGCCGCUACAAACGGGCGCGAAGCCGAAAGGCGGAGCAAAUCCGAAAAAAGCGGCCCCAGUUCGGAUAGAGGUCUGCAACUCGACCUCUUGAAGCCGGAA
rnacentral:rRNA from 1 species